AUAUUUUACAUAUAAAAAUGUACAACUUAAAAAAUUUGUUGCUCCAACUAAAUAAUUUUUGUUUUUUAGCAUAUUCUCAACGGCAAGGAAAACCUAGCAGAUUUUUUAAGAACCCAAGGCAAUCAGACACGUGCGAAGAGGAUAUUUAAAUAAGAUUUAUUGAAAUAUUAAUUACAUGAGUAUCAAAUAGUAUAUAUAUAUUAUAUAUCAUAAUCGUAUAUCAUAUAUUUGAAUAUAGUGACCAACGUGAAUUAUUAAAACAUAUUCUAUUUUCUUAUUCCAACAAAAUAUUUAUUUGAUUUAUUUUCUUCUAUAAUUCAUCCGAUCUCCUUUCUCUGUUUUAGCAAUUACUUGUUAUUUAAGAGGAUCAACGAUGUCAAUUCAGAUGCUCACGCAGACAGGCUGUGCGAACGGUGAAAGAUCUAUCUCUUUCCGUUUCGAGUUGUCUUUAAUAGAAAAGGAAAGAGUAGAUCUCCCACUCGCUCGCGCAACUUGCUUGCGUGAGCGUCUGAACUAGCAUCGCUGCAUAGAAUUACGGUUCACUCCUUUUAAUUGAGUGAGCGAUUCACUCCAAAAAAGAAACACUUACUCCAAUCGUUUGAAAAAUUCACUCUCAUGGAGUGAAAAAUUCACUCUAAAGUUUGAGUGAAACAUUCACUCUUAUAAAAAGUGAGAUGUCACUCUAUGUUGAGUGGGAGUAUUUUCACUAUCGCUUGGAGUGAAAAUCCACUCUUUUGGAGUGACAUUUCACUCCAAGAAAUUUAGAGAAUAUAUCCGCAUUUCUAUCACUUCUUUCUGUUUGCACGCCAAAAACUGCCACGUCGCUGCCUUUAUUCACGUACUUACAAAUGUAUUUGAUUGAUUUUACUAAGUUACAGUAUUCCACGUUUAUGUGCGCUUUGUAUGUUUUUGAUAGCCAAGGCAAAUAUAAAACAACCCACCGGUUAUCUACUUUGAUUUCACCAUUUCGCAUUUGUAUGGUUGCUAAUUUUCCGCCAUCUUCUGCUGAUCUUCUUUUGUAUACUCUCUAAAGUUCUUCGAGUGAAAUAUCACUCUAAUCAAGUGAAAAUUCACUUGAACAAAGAGUGAUAGAUUGAAAAUUGAACAUAUCUUAUCGAGUGAAUAUUGACUCGACAUUUCGAGUGAUUAGAUCGCUCGUGCGUUCGAGUGAAAUGUGACUCGUGUAUUUGAGUGAAUUUGUACUCUGAUUAGAAUGACUUCUUCAGAUGUCAGCUUUUGCUGUUCGUUCGUUUUUAGAGUGAAGUUUUACUCUUGUUUGAGUGUGCAGCAUAGAGUUAUUUCUUAGGGUAUAUCUGCACAAACUUGUAUAGGCGCAUAAACACAUGCAUAAGAAAUAUGCAUCGAAUUGAUGCAUAUUUCUUAUGCACAUGCUUAUGCGCCUAUGCAAGUUUGUGUGGAUAUACCUUAAUGGUAUUGUUAUAAGUGACACACUCAUAACGAUGAAAAAGGUGUCAGUAGCACGAUAACGUAAAUCGGUCAGCUGCAGCAGUCAGCAUCGAGCGCAUUGCGCGAGGUUUCGCGCAAUCCGCUCGACAAUUAGCGCAAUGCUCCUUAGACAGCACUUGCUGUCUAAGCAAUAAUUUGGAAUACUGACCAAUUUACGCCCUCACGCAAUUCUCCCCUUCUUUCGAUCCAACUACCAAAUUAUCGGAUAUAUAAAUCCGCAAAAGAAAGUGAGGGACGGGUCAAUCCGAAGUAAACAAACCAAGAUAACACACAACACUCUGCUUUGCGGGGUCGUGUAUCGCGACAUAAACCAUUGUAACAUACACAACCACGACACUCUGCCUUGCGGGGUCGUGGACAGCAAACUCAUAGACGCGACACUCUGCCUUUUCCUCUAAGGAGAUCAGAUCUAUGUAUCAUGCAUGAACGACAGAAAUGAUUAGCAGAAGGAUUCAAGAAUCCAAACAUCUGAUGUGCAGCCAAGCCAUCAGCAACUACACAAGCUAUGAUGGCCCUCAAUACAAAUAGCUCUCCAUCAAAACUUACCAUAACUCCUUCUUCACUUUCCAACUUAUUUAAAUCAUCAAGAAAAGGACUUAAAAUUUUCUUAAAACUAUAUUUAGUAACAUCGACUGUAUAACAAAAUCCCAAAACUUGAACUCGUCCCAUAAAUGAUUGCAAAUGAGAAGGCAAAUUUUAAAUAGUAAAAUAAAAAGCUCCUAAUUUGUGAGCUGCUGUUUUACUUCCUAGAGGAUUAUUGACAAGUAUAUCAUCAUAGUAUAAUUGGAUUCUUAAUGCUGCUGGAUAUUUUCUAAAAAAAUGGAUUUUUUUUUUAAGCUCUCCCUAUCUCUAAAAUCCCCUCAUAAAUCCAUCUAAAGAAAAAAAUUCUUCUUCAAUGUAUUUUCUAACACUAGAAUGAGAAAGUAUUAAUUUAAGAGUCUUAAUUAUUGGAACAUAUUGAAAACUUUCAAUAACCAACUUUGGUUCGUAUUCACCAGAUUGUCUAUUCAGCACUGAUUCACAACGAUCUCCAAGCAGAAUCUCAACGGAGUCUACCAACCUAUAAUACAUUUUUAAAGUUUUCAGUUGCUCUUUAAUGGAUGAAAAUUUGUUAAAAGAAGCAGAAAUUUCAAACUUAGAAAGUAAAUCCUGAAUAUUAAGAUGAUCCAAUGAUAUAUCCUUACUUGAACAAUAAUUCAUAACUUCUUGCUGAAAGAAAUUUGCAAUGUUACAAACAAAAACUUCUGCUGCCAUACAAGCUUGAGUCAAACUAGCCCCUGUGAUAGAUGCAUUGGAUCUAAGAUGAGCAUUUUUGCAGCCUCUUCUGAUACACUAAACACUUUUUGAAGUCCGUUGUUUGAAGAAUUUUUAGGAUUGUUUGAAGAAUUUUUAGGAUUGUUAUCCUCAGGCACACUAUAAUUAUUUUCUUGCUCAGGGUCUUCAUUAAAAUCUACCUCCAUAUGAUUUUGAAACAAAAAUGACUCGUUAUUUUUGUUGUUUACAAUUGGGUGUUUAAUUCGAAGAUAUCUAACCAAACUAUUGAAAUUUCUAAAUACACAUUGACAAUCAUCUUGUCCACAUUGAUAUCUAAAACCAUAGGAAGCUGACAGAGACGAACUAUGUGAAUGUCUUAAAUGCGCUGCGAAAUAUUUCAAUCCAUUUGAAAUAAAUUUCUGACACAUUGAACAAGUAUAGCCUUCCAUUACUAUUUACGAAUCAACAGACAUUCAAAUAAAUUGACAAGCUAAGAUCUGAAAUAAAAUAAUAUUUUGUUCAGGAGCCUAAAAUUAAUUUACCACUAAACAUAUUUGUAUAUUAUUUUAACAAGACUAAAAAGAAAAUAACAAUAUUAUUACGCUUUACAUUACUUUUCUAUUUUACCAAAUGAUACAUACUCAAUAAAAUAUUGACUGUAUUCUCAUUUACUCCUCUUUUUUGAAGAAACAUGGCUAAAGCCUCAGGGUCCAUCAUUACACUCUGAAACAAUAAUUUCGAAUAAAUUUAUUGGAAAUUAAAAACGAACCAGACAUGGGCACUUUUAUUUGAUUAACAAAUAACAGAUAUUUGAAAAAAAA
rnacentral:lncRNA from 1 species